UACGAAGGGUGCAAACGUUGCUCGGAAUUAUUGGGCGUAAAGCGCACGUAGGCGGCUUAGCAAGUCGGAUGUGAAAUCCCUCGGCUCAACCAAGGAAGUGCAUCCGAAACUGCUGAGCUUGAGUACGAAAGAGGAUCGCGGAAUUCCCGGUGUAGAGGUGAAAUUCGUAGAUAUCGGGAGGAACACCAGUGGCGAAGGCGGCCCUCUGGUCCAGUACUGACACUCAAGUGCGAAAGCGUGGGGAGCAAACAGG
rnacentral:rRNA from 1 species